rnacentral:rRNA from 1 species
UACGGGAGGCAGCAGUGAGGAAUAUUGGUCAAUGGGCGGAAGCCUGAACCAGCCAUGCCGCGUGCGGGACGACGGCCCUACGGGUUGUAAACCGCUUUUGUGUGUGAGCAAUAAGGGCGCUUAGUGCGUCCGAUGAGAGUAGCAUACGAAUAAGCAUCGGCUAACUCCGUGCCAGCAGCCGCGGUAAU